UAAGUCGAAUCACCCAUUGCACGUUUUGAGUGAGGCGAUGCUGAACGAUAGGCUAUAGGCUAAUUGCUAACUAGAACAACAAUACAUCGUUCAAGUGGAACAGCGAAGUGCAAGUACGGAAGCCAAGGGGUUGUCACAUUAUUCGGAAGGCAUUGUGGGCAUCGUAGGCUCAGCCAAUCAGAGCCAGCCGAUUUCAUUACUCAGGCAUUUUGCUGUUACACGGGCAGAAAUAUUGCCGUUCAGUGCCUUUGUAACUUGAAUUUUUCGUGAAACAGGGUAUUCGUAAGUCAGGGUUCCACUGUAUAUACAGGGUGGGCCAUUUAUAUGGAUACACCGUAAUAACAUGGG